rnacentral:lncRNA from 1 species
CCGGGAAUUCAUGUCUGACUAAUGAAUCUCGCAGGACCACGACAUCCUAAUGUACCACGCCAAGGUCGCGCAUAUUGGCCUCGGUGCACCCAAUCCUGCUUAUCUCCGAAUGUUAAACCGCGGACGGGGGUGACUGUGACGGCCCACACGAUCAAUGCUCAUCACUGAAGUGUUGACGCUUCUGAGCUCGACGGCCAGCGGACAAAGCGGUUUUACGUGAGGAUCAAGAACGGUAAAAGCACACUGGAGACGACGACGACGAGACAAACAGUGGACACACACGUACGCGCAUAGUGCUAUGCAUAUGUGUUCCUUCUUUGUGUCGUCUCCAUAGCGUUUUCCCUUCGUAAGGAUGGACUACCAACGAGCCCAGAUUGCCACC